rnacentral:rRNA from 1 species
UACGUAGGCAGCGAGCGUUGUUCGGAGUUACUGGGCGUAAAGGGCGCGUAGGCGGAUCGUUAAGUCAGGGGUGAAAUCCCGGGGCUCAACCUCGGAACUGCCCUUGAUACUGGCGAUCUUGAGUAUGAGAGAGGUAUGUGGAACUCCGAGUGUAGAGGUGAAAUUCGUAGAUAUUCGGAAGAACACCAGUGGCGAAGGCGACAUACUGGCUCAUUACUGACGCUGAGGCGCGAAAGCGUGGGGAGCAAACAGG